rnacentral:rRNA from 1 species
CCUACGGGAGGCAGCAGUGAGGAAUAUUGGUCAAUGGACGAGAGUCUGAACCAGCCAAGUAGCGUGAAGGAUGACUGCCCUAUGGGUUGUAAACUUCUUUUAUAUGGGAAUAAAACGUUCCACGUGUGGGAUUUUGUAUGUACCAUAUGAAUAAGGACCGGCUAACUCCGUGCCAGCAGCCGCGGUAAUACGGAGGAUCCGAGCGUUAUCCGGAUUUAUUGGGUUUAAAGGGAGCGUAGGUGGAUUGUUAAGUCAGUUGUGAAAGUUUGCGGCUCAACCGUAAAAUUGCAGUUGAAACUGGCAGUCUUGAGUACAGUAGAGGUGGGCGGAAUUCGUGGUGUAGCGGUGAAAUGCUUAGAUAUCACGAAGAACUCCGAUUGCGAAGGCAGUUCACUGGACUGCAACUGACACUGAGGCUCGAAAGUGUGGGUAUCAAACAGGAUUAGAGACCCCAGUAGUC